rnacentral:rRNA from 1 species
AUUGAACGCUGGCGGAAUGCUUUACACAUGCAAGUCGAACGGUAGAGGGGGCAACCCCUCGAGAGUGGCGAACGGGUGAGUAAUAUAUCGGAACGUGCCUAGUCGUGGGGGAUAACGUAGCGCAAGUUACGCUAAUACCGCAUACGAUCUAAGGAUGAAAGCGGGGGCUCGCAAGACCUCGCGCGCUUGGAGCGGCGGAUAUCAGAGUCGGUAGUUGGUGGGGUAAAGGCUCACCCAGCCAACGAUCUGUAGCUGGUCUGAGGGGACGACCAGCCACACUGGAACUGAGACACGGUCCAGACUCCGACGGGAGGCAGCAGUGGGGAAUUUUGGACAAUGGGGGCAAGCCUGAUCCAGCCAUUCCGCGGGCAGGACGAAGGCCUUCGGGUUGUAAACUGCUUUUGGACGGAACGAAAAGGCGCUGGUUAAUACCUGGGGCUCAUGACGGUACCGUAAGAAUAAGCACCGGCUAACUACGUGCCAGCAGCCGCAGUAA